UCGGCAAUGCGGCUAGGUCUUCCUCCUCCUCCCCCUCCUCCUAACUCGGCUCCUGGCGCGGUCCCCUCUGCACCGUGGGGAUGGGCCGGCCCUCCUCGCCGGCGCCGCCUCCUUCUGCGCGGCUCGGUUCGGUUGGGAGGGGGAGGAUGCCGCGGCGGGCCAUGUAAUGGUGAAGUGUGGGUCUGUAUGGAUUCUUGGCCCCUUAGUGCAGCGGCUCACUAAGUCAAUCGGUUCUCUUUUAUGGACUCUUUUAUGGAUUCUUUCUCUUGCCCGUCUGAUGAAUGAUAUCCCAGCACCAUACUUUCAGUGAAGAAUCUUAUACUGGAAUUUGCUGUUUGAGUAGCUGCUUGACUCUUAUCAGAACUCUGGCAUAUCAAUUGAGGAGGCCCAACUUGGUGAGAAUCUUCCUAUUUUGGGCUAUGCCGUGAUAAUCAAAAGAUUUCCUCUAACGGUUAAUAUGUAAGCUGGAAACACCUUAUCUAUAUUCUAGUUUACAUUAUCUCCAGCAAAGUUGUGGCAAUUGUAAGUAUGGUCUGUGAAAAUGACCUCUCAAAGGCCAACCCACUUGUAUGGCUGGAAAGUUACAGGAAUUUUUAUGCUCAUAUGUUCCUAUCCAUCAACAGUAAUGUUUCGAUAUAUUGGGAUUCUUUAUCGCA